UACGGGGGGGGGUAAGCGUUGUUCGGAAUUACUGGGCGUAAAGCGUGCGUAGACGGUUAUCUAAGUCGGAUGUGAAAGCCCCCGGGCUCAACCUGGGAAUUGCAUUCGAGACUGAAUAGCUAGGGUGCGGUAGAGGGAAGGCGGAAUUCCCGGUGUAGCGGUGAAAUGCGUAGAUAUCGGGAGGAACAUCAGUGGCGAAGGCGGCCUUCUGGUCCAGUACUGACACUCAAGUGCGAAAGCGUGGGGAGCAAACAGG
rnacentral:rRNA from 1 species